GGUUUGAUGGUCUAGUGGUAGGAUUCUCGCUUUGGGUCAUGUGAGCGUGUCGCAAACUUGCGAGAGGUCCCGGGUUCGAUCCCCGGUCAAACCC